rnacentral:rRNA from 1 species
UGAACGCUGGCGGCGUGCCUAACACAUGCAAGUCGAGCGAUCUUCUUCGGAAGAGAGCGGCGGACGGGUGAGUAACGCGUGGGUAACCUGCCCUGUACACACGGAUAACAUACCGAAAGGUAUGCUAAUACGGGAUAACAUAUUUUUAUCGCAUGGUAGAAGUAUCAAAGCUCCGGCGGUACAGGAUGGACCCGCGUCUGAUUAGCUAGUUGGUAAGGUAACGGCUUACCAAGGCGACGAUCAGUAGCCGACCUGAGAGGGUGAUCGGCCACAUUGGAACUGAGACACGGUCCAAACUCCUACGGGAGGCAGCAGUGGGGAAUAUUGCACAAUGGGCGAAAGCCUGAUGCAGCAACGCCGCGUGAGCGAUGAAGGCCUUCGGGUCGUAAAGCUCUGUCCUCAAGGAAGAUAAUGACGGUACUUGAGGAGGAAGCCCCGGCUAACUACGUGCCAGCCGCCGC